UCUAAUUCAGCCUUACCCGGGUACGGCGGAUCUCUGCCCGGGUGGACCUGUCCUUUCUCCGCAGCUCGUGGGAAUUAACAUGGAGAAUUUAACAAAUACAAAACUAAAAGACUGCACAAGACAAGAGCCCGACACUCUUAUAAAGUCGGAAAAAUAAAACGUCUAACCUUUGCCGAAGAAACCUGACGUCUGCUCAAACGACUGCCCUGGACCACUAGAAGCUGCAGCAUGCAAAUACACAGGCAUGAAAAAGACCAGUGCGAAGACCGGCAUCGGCCCCGCCUGAACCAAUAGGCCACGGACAUCAGUAGCAGUGAAGCCAACAGCGCGAGGGACUCCCUUUCGCCUUCGAAGGAGCGUUAGCGUAGCCAAACCGGCGACGACCAGCUGACGCGGAAGACAUCUGUUGCAAUUGGAGUCGAGUGGGAGCGACGUUAUCGAUAGGUUAGGUCGAUAGGGCGAUAGCUGCAGCAGCGGGAUGAGUCUGGCGGGCGAUCUGGCCAUUUAAAGAUUAAUCCCGGUUCGCUCUGGGAUUACUUCUAAUGGCCCAUGUAUCCAAUGACCCAAUGCUGAGAGAGGCCAUGUAAUAUGGCGGGGGGCGAUGAUCAGCAGAUAUCGUGAUAGUCGCGGCCAUACUGUCCAACAAUCAAGGCAGAUGCAGACAGGUAGACGGGAAACUACAAAUUUGUCUUUGUGCUUAAAAAUCAAAUAGCAGCCAGGGUCCCAAUACAAAGGGCCCCGGAAGAUUUAUUGGAGAUCUGCUGACAUCUGCGCGACUUCGACAUACCUGCCAGCCCGACUUGGCGGCCCAGCAAACGGUGUCCGUUCGACCCGUAUCAGCGACCAGCAAGAAGGGCCUUUCCCAGUCGACGACGA